rnacentral:rRNA from 1 species
UACGUAGGGUGCAAGCGUUAAUCGGAAUUACUGGGCGUAAAGCGUGCGCAGGCGGUUAUGUAAGACAGCUGUGAAAUGCCCGGGCUUAACCUGGGAACUGCAUUUGUGACUGCAUGGCUAGAGUUUGGCAGAGGGGGGUAGAAUUCCACGUGUAGCAGUGAAAUGCGUAGAUAUGUGGAGGAACACCGAUGGCGAAGGCAGCCCCCUGGGUCAAGACUGACGCUCAUGCACGAAAGCGUGGGGAGCAAACAGG